UAUAUAAGUAUUUAUGGAGAGGUAAGUCUUAUAGGUAUAAGAGGAAUGGGAUUAGUUAUGUUACAACAAGCACUAGUAUACAAUAAAUAUUUAAUGGGGGAUGAGAUAUGAGUCGGUAUAGGAGGGGGGAGGGGUCUUUUUGUUGUUCCAUUAGGUUAUUUUUUUGAAAAAAGUUUGAUUCUUGCUUUAAAAUUUGAAUUAUUAAUUAUUUAAUAUGUAAGAUUUUUCUUUAAUUUGUCUAAAAGAUUUUUUUUUCAGUAUUUAGUUUUGGUUGUUUUUUGAGAGAAAAAACUAGGGUUUAAUCUUGUUAAUUGACAAAAGUUGUGCCAGCCGUCGCGGUUAUACAAUUAAUCAGAUUAAAUAUUUUUGGUAAAAUAUUAAUUCUUUAAAUUUUAAUAUAAUUAAAUAUUUUUAGGUGAAAUUUUUAUUUUUUAUAAUUUUAUUGGUUGAUGAUUUUAUAUAUGAAAAUUAUUAAUAAACUAGGAUUAGAUACCCUAUUAUUAUAAUUGUUAAUUCUUCUUUAAUAUUAAUAGUUAUGUUCUUUAAAUUAAAAGAAUUUGGCGGUUAUUUAAUCUUUCUAGAGGAACCUGUCCUGUAAUUGAUAAUCCACGAUUGAUUUUACUUUAAUUAUAACUUAUAUAUCGCUGUCAUUGAAUGUUUUAUUAGAUUAUUUUCUUAAAUUUUUAUGAAUUUAAUGUUAGGUCAAGAUGUAGUAAUAUUAAAGUAGAGAUGGGUUACUUUUUUUAUAUAAAUGGAUUAAUUAUUGAAAUUUAAUUAUGAAAUUGGAUUUAGGUGUAAUUUUUUAUUAAUAUAAAUUUUGAUUUUAGUUCUAAAUAAUGUACACAUCGCCCGUCACUCCCAUUUUAAGUUGGGAUAAGUCGUAACAAAGUAGAUCUACCGGAAGGUGGAUCUGGUUAGAUCAAGUUAAUUCAUUUAGUGAAUUUAUU
rnacentral:ncRNA from 1 species